rnacentral:rRNA from 1 species
CAAAGGCUUAGUCCUGACUUUACUGUCAGCUCUAGCUAGACUUACACAUGCAAGUAUCCGCACCCCUGUGAGAAUGCCCACCCUCGUUCCCCGCCCGGAAACAAGGAGCUGGUAUCAGGCACGACUAACAUCAGCCCAUGACACCUUGCUUAGCCACACCCUCAAGGGACAUCAGCAGUGAUAAACAUUAAGCCAUAAGUGAAAACUUGACUUAGUUAAAGCUUAGAGAGCCGGUAAAACUCGUGCCAGCCACCGCGGUUAUACGAGAGGCUCAAGUUGACAGACAACGGCGUAAAGAGUGGUUAGGGAAACUUUUAAAAACUAAAGCCGAACGUCCUCAAAGCUGUUUAACGCUUCCGAGUUAAGAAGGUCUUUAACGAAAGUAGCUUUACCAAACCUGACCCCACGAAAGCUGUGGAACAAACUGGGAUUAGAUACCCCACUAUGCUCAGCCCUAAAAUUCGAUAGGUCACUACGCCCCCUAUCCGCCCGGGUACUACGAGCGUCAGCUUGAAACCCAAAGGACUUGGCGGUGCUUCACAUCCGUCUAGAGGAGCCUGUUCUGUAACCGAUAACCCCCGUUAAACCUCACCCUCUCUUGUUAAUCCCGCCUAUAUACCGCCGUCGUCAGCCUACCCUGUGAAGGACUAGAAGUGAGCAAGAUUGGUAAGACCCAAAACGUCAGGUCGAGGUGUAGUAUAUGAGAGGGGAAGAAAUGGGCUACAUUUCCUAAGUCAGGAAAUACGAACAAUGAACUGAAAUAAGCAUUAGAAGGUGGAUUUAGCAGUAAGCAGAGAAACAGAGUGUCCUGCUGAAGUUAAUGGCAAUAAAGCACGUACAUAUCGCCCGUCACUCUCCCCGAGCCUAACAUAUAAACACAUACCUAAAAAGUCACACCUGCAAAGGGGAGGCAAGUCGUAACAUGGUAAGCGUACCGGAAGGUGUGCUUGGACAAAU